rnacentral:rRNA from 1 species
CCUACGGGUGGCAGCAGUGGGGGAUAUUGCACAAUGGGGGGAACCCUGAUGGAGCGACGCCGCGUGGGUGAAGAAGCGCCUCGGCGCGUAAAGCCCUGUCAGCAGGGAAGAAAAUGACGGUACCUGAAGAAGAAGCCCAGGCUAACUACGUGCCAGCAGCCGCGGUAAUACGUAGGGGGCAAGCGUUAUCCGGAUUUAAUGGGUGGAAAGGGGGCGCAGACGGCGAUGCAAGCCAGGAGUGAAAGCCCGGGGCCCAACCCCGGGACUGCUCUGGGAAGUGCGUGGCUGGAGUGCAGGAGGGGCAGGCGGAAGUCCUGGUGUAGCGGUGAAAGGCGUAGAUAUCAGGAGGAACACCGGUGGCGAAGGCGGCCUGCUGGACUGCAACUGACGUUGAGGCCCGAAAGCGUGGGGAGCAAACAGGAUUAGAUACCCGUGUAGUC